rnacentral:tRNA from 1 species
GCCUGGGUAGCUCAGUCAGUUGAGCAUCUGACUUUGGCUCAGGUCAUGAACUCGCUUUUGUGAGUUCAAGCCCUGCAUCAGGCU